rnacentral:rRNA from 1 species
CAGUCGCCACGGUAAUACGGAGGGGGCUAGCGUUGUUCGGAAUUACUGGGCGUAAAGCGCACGUAGGCGGACCGGAAAGUCAGAGGUGAAAUCCCAGGGCUCAACCUUGGAACUGCCUUUGAAACUCCUGGUCUUGAGGUCGAGAGAGGUGAGUGGAAUUCCGAGUGUAGAGGUGAAAUUCGUAGAUAUUCGGAGGAACACCAGUGGCGAAGGCGGCUCACUGGCUCGAUACUGACGCUGAGGUGCGAAAGCGUGGGGAGCAAACAGGAUUAGAUACCCGAGUAGUCCUGUCUCUUAUACA